rnacentral:tRNA from 1 species
GGUUAUGGCUCAGUGGUAGAGUGCUUGUCUGGCACAUGUGAGGUAUUGGGUUCGAUUCUCAGCACCA